GCCUUGGUGGCUCAGUCGGUUGAGUGCCCGACUUUGAUCCAGGUCAUGAUCUCGUGGUUCAUGGGUUCGAGCCCCAUGUCAGGGUC
rnacentral:tRNA from 1 species